rnacentral:rRNA from 1 species
UAUUGCGCAAUGGGCGAAAGCCUGACGCAGCGACGCCGCGUGGAGGAUGAAGGUCUUUGGAUUGUAAACUUCUGUUAAGUCCGACCCCCCAAUAUAAUUCUAAUACAGUUAUAUAGUGACGGUACCAUUAGAGAAAGCACCGGCUAAACUCGUGCCAGCACCCGCGGUAAUACGAGUGGUGCAAGCGUUAUUCGGAAUAAUUGGGCGUAAAGGGUGCGCAGGCGGCAAAUUAAGUUUAUUGUUAAAUCUCUCGGCCCAACUGAGAAUAUGCGAUAAAUACUGAUUAGCUAGAGAUUGGAAGAGAGAAGUGGAAUUCUUGGAGUAGCGGUAAAAUGCGUAGAUCUCAAGAGGAACACCAAUGGCGAAGGCAGCUUCUGGUCCAUUCUACGCUCAGCACGAAA